GCAGAAGAAGAAGAAGAAGCAGUUAGAGGGUGUGGAGCAGCGGUCCCGACAUGGCAGCCAGAUCUCAGCUGUUGGCCCGGUUCACAGGACCUGAAGUCUUUGACCCGGGAGUCUGUUUGUUAUGUUUGCACUGUGGGAUGAGGUAGUAGGUUGUAUAGUUUUACGGUCAUACCCGCACUGGGAGAUAACUAUUAAACCUACUGUCUUUCCCAAAGUGCUAAUUACACCUCUCAGUGGAAGCUCCCCGUCAUCUGAAGGCCGGUUCUUCAGCCUUUGCUGCACAGGAAUACGAUGUUUUAUGGCGUUUGCUCACACAGUAUGAGGUAGUAGAUUGUAUAGUUUUGGGGUAGUGAUUUUGCCCUGUUUGGAAGAUAACUAUACAAUCUAUUGCCUUCCCUGAGGAGUAGCAUCUCUUCAAAGAGCCGUGGAAACACCAGACAUGUGGUGAACAUAUAAGUCCUGUGUUGCCCAAUGAACACGUCAAGCUUUAACCUAUUUUUAGUAGUUUUACACUUAAAGGGAGGCCAGUGGGUGAACACCCCUAUAGUGUUUAAAAGGUGUAGUGUUUUUUUUUUUUUUUCAAAUACUGUUUCAAAAGAUCAUCUGAACUGUAAAUAAUAAAAGUUUUCAUUCAGCCUUACUGAAGCGUCUCAACUACCAUCCCUAUUUUUAAGGUUCAUGCUUUGUGUGUGUCAUCGUCAUUCAUAUCUAUAGAAGCAAUAUGUUUUAAAAUAAAUUGUAUGAAAGCACUGGAA